rnacentral:rRNA from 1 species
AUUGAACGCUAGUGGCAGGCUUAACACAUGCAAGUCGAGCGGAGAUGAGGUGCUUGCACCUUAUCUUAGCGGCGGACGGGUGAGUAAUGCUUAGGAAUCUGCCUAUUAGUGGGGGACAACAUUCCGAAAGGAAUGCUAAUACCGCAUACGUCCUACGGGAGAAAGCAGGGGAUCUUCGGACCUUGCGCUAAUAGAUGAGCCUAAGUCGGAUUAGCUAGUUGGUGGGGUAAAGGCCUACCAAGGCGACGAUCUGUAGCGGGUCUGAGAGGAUGAUCCGCCACACUGGGACUGAGACACGGCCCAGACUCCUACGGGAGGCAGCAGUGGGGAAUAUUGGACAAUGGGGGGAACCCUGAUCCAGCCAUGCCGCGUGUGUGAAGAAGGCCUUAUGGUUGUAAAGCACUUUAAGCGAGGAGGAGGCUACUGAGACUAAUACUCUUGGAUAGUGGACGUUACUCGCAGAAUAAGCACCGGCUAACUCUGUGCCAGCAGCCGCCGUAA